UGUCAUAGAAAAAAAACGUUGAUGUACUUUUUGCAUUCGAAUUGACAUAAUUUGAACAUAGACUCUGCAUUUAUGCCAUAAAAUAUGUCUGAUCGGACGUGCUGAAUCAUCCGGCAAAAACCAUCAAUAUUUUUAAAGUAACAUUAAUUAGAAUCAAGGUCUACUGUGCAUUUAAUCCGUCAUGUGUUUGUUUCAGAUGAAAGAAUACCUGCACCAUGGAAACAAUGUCAUUUGCAAACUUUUUGAACCUGUGCUGGGCAUUCACAUUGACAUUUCUUGUUCAACAGGAAUACAUGAUGUCGACCAACAGUGCAACUAGAUGAAGAUAUAAAUUUAUUCAAAGAAAUAAUGGGACAAUGAAUGCUAAAAUUGCCAAGAAGAAGACUGCCAAUUUACACACCAUUUUAUACAGUUACAGUAUGAUAUGGUGAACAAAAUGCCUCAAUGCAGCCAGUUCUGGAGCUUUGGCUAGACUAUGAACAGUAGACAUCAAAAGAUGAUCAUCUGAAGGGCCACAAUUGUUUAAAGCACUGGUCAACAAAAACUGAACUAUUUGAUUGAUCAUACAUGUGCAGAAUGUACAACCAUAUUUCCAGAAUCAGAGAAAGUAUUAGAGAGAAAGAAAAGUAUGCAUCAUGUAUGAAGAACUGUCUAAGAAUAAUUUGCAAAAUACAUUGAAAUCUAACAAUUGCUAAUUGCAUAAGGAAGUUAAGAAAGGUGUACUCUUCUGGAAAAUAUGUGUCCAGUGCAACACUUCUUUUCCAAUUUUGUGAGCAUAAUUCUGAAUAAAAAUUGCAACAUGGCUACAGGGAUAAUACAAAAGGUUUAAUCUUAUUUCCAAACACA